UACGUAGGGACCAAGCGUUGUUCGGAUUUACUGGGCGUAAAGGGCUCGUAGGCGGCCAACUAAGUCAGACGUGAAAUCCCUCAGCUUAACUGGGGAACUGCGUCUGAUACUGGAUGGCUUGGAUUUGGGAGAGGAAUGCGGAAUUCCAGGUGUAGCGGUGAAAUGCGUAGAUAUCUGGAGGAACACCGGUGGCGAAGGCGGCAUUCUGGACCAAUAUUGACGCUGAGGAGCGAAAGCCAGGGGAGCAAACGGG
rnacentral:rRNA from 1 species